rnacentral:rRNA from 1 species
AAUCAACGCUGGCGGCGUGCCUCAGACAUGCAAGUCGAACGAUUAAAGCUCUCUUCGGAGAGUGUAUAGAGUGGCGCACGGGUGAGUAACACGUAAGUAAUCUACCUUUGAGUGGGGAAUAACCCGGGGAAACCCGAGCUAAUACCGCAUAAUGCAGCGGCACCGCAAGGUGACAGUUGUUAAAGGAGCAAUCCGCUUAAAGAGGAGCUUGCGGCAGAUUAGCUAGNGGUAAGGUAAUGGCUUACCAAGGCUUCGAUCUGUAUCCGGCCUGAGAGGGCGGCCGGACACACUGACACUGAAUAACGGGUCAGACUCCUACGGGAGGCAGCAGUCGGGAAUUUGGGCAAUGGGCGAAAGCCUGACCCAGCAACGCCGCGUGAAGGAUGAAGUAUUUCGGUAUGUAAACUUCGAAAGAAUGGGAAGAAUCAAUGACGGUACCAUUUAUAAGGUCCGGCUAACUACGUGCCAGCCGCCGCCGUAAU